UUCAGCUGAAGUACUUCAACGACACCGGAGAUUUAAUGGACAUUCAGAUGAACAACGUUUGGAAUCAGCUGAUCCAGUUUGAGCUCCUGUGAUCAAACCACAAUAUUUUGUCGAUCUGCUCCAUUUAUGAUCACGAUAGUUGAGCAUUUAUUCAUCUCUCAAAUAUUUUCUGCUAAUAAGUCUUCACAUAAUCAUAUUCUCUCUUACUGCUCUUUUAAUAAGAGACUUGCUCGUUGCUCCUCAUAAAAAGAACAAAAAUAUUGAUAUUACGUUGUAUAAUUACUAAUAUUUCUGACCGCUCACAGAAUUUGUGUUCAUUUUGUUUUCUUGUCAGUAUGUAACAAGGAGGCAGUAUGUCAUAGUGGCUGAUUUGGAGGAAGGAUUUAUAUUUUUUAGCUUCCCAUUAUGAUUGAAUAAGAACAAUAGAUUAAUUUUCCUAUUGGCAGCAGACACGUGCUGAUUGACUAUUCAAUAUUAGCUUGCAGUUCACUAUCAGGGCCAAAAUGAAGCUGCAAUUCACUCGCAUAGUCCUUCUCAUGAGCCUUUUGUGCAAGCUAUGGUUGAUUCUGCUACAACAUACAUAUUGGUCUUAGGACCAACACUGUUGCCAAGUCGGGUGGGACGGGUAAGAAACCAAAGCAGUAGUUGGUCUGCUAUGCUAUGUCUGCACAUGAUGUUUGUAUAUUAGGGUGGUGACGAUGGUGCUGUCUUGACACACUGGCAAAAGAUGAAUCGGUUGCAGAUUAAAUGAAAUUGUUUUAUUAUGUAGCUUCUAUUUCUUGGUUCAAUGCAAUCUGGUAUUUUUGCCGUAGAGUUUUAUGUUGACAUUACUGUCACUUCACUUGCAAUAUGGUAUUGUUGCCACUUCAAAAUUUGCAUUAUUAUUUGAUCAAAUUCAA